rnacentral:rRNA from 1 species
UACGUAGGGUGCAAGCGUUAAUCGGAAUUACUGGGCGUAAAGCGUGCGCAGGCGGCUUUGCAAGACAGAUGUGAAAUCCCCGGGCUUAACCUGGGAACUGCAUUUGUGACUGCAUGGCUGGAGUCCGGAAGAGGAGAGUGGAAUUCCUGGUGUAGCGGUGAAAUGCGCAGAUAUCAGGAAGAACACCCGUGGCGAAGGCGGCUCUCUGGGACGGUACUGACGCUGAGACGCGAAAGCGUGGGGAGCGAACAGG